GAACGCGAGAGAGGCUUCGGCCUCAAUUGAGUGGCAAACGGGUGAGUAACACGUGGGUGACCUACCUUCGAGUGGGGGAUAACGUCCCGAAAGGGACGCUAAUACCGCAUAACAUCCUGUCCUUGAACGGAUGGAGAUCAAAGCCGGGGAUCGCAAGACCUGGUGCUUGAUGAGGGGCCCGCGUCUGAUUAGCUAGUUGGUGAGGUAACGGCCCACCAAGGCGACGAUCAGUAUCCGGCCUGAGAGGGCGGACGGACACACUGGGACUGAGACACGGCCCAGACUCCUACGGGAGGCAGCAGUGGGGAAUUGUUCACAAUGGGCGCAAGCCUGAUGACGCAACGCCGCGUGGAGGAUGAAGGUCUUCGGAUUGUAAACUCCUGUUGCUCGGGACGAAAAGCCUCGACCUAACACGUCGAGGUCUGACGGUACCGAGUGAGGAAGCCCCGGCUAACUCUGUGCCAGCAGCCGCGGUAAUACAGAGGGGGCAAGCGUUGUUCGGAAUUACUGGGCGUAAAGGGCGCGUAGGCGGCCUGCUAAGUCGAACGUGAAAUCCCCGAGCCCAACUCGGGAACUGCGUCCGAUACUGACAGGCUUGGAAUCCGGGAGAGGGAUGCGGAAUUCCAGGUGUAGCGGUGAAAUGCGUAGAUUUCUGGAGGAACACCGGUGGCGAAGGCGGCAUCCUGGACCGGCAUUGACGCUGAGGCGCGAAAGCUAGGGGAGCAAACGGGAUUAGAUACCCCGGUAGUCCUAGCCCUAAACGAUAAAUGCUUGGUGUGGCGGGUAUCGAUCCCUGCCGUGCCAAACUAACGCAUUAA
rnacentral:rRNA from 1 species